AUUGAACGCUGGCGGCAUGCUUUACACAUGCAAGUCGAACGGUAACAGGCCUUCGGGUGCUGACGAGUGGCGAACGGGUGAGUAAUGCAUCGGAACGUACCCAGAGGUGGGGGAUAACGCAGCGAAAGCUGUGCUAAUACCGCAUGUGAUCUGAGGAUGAAAGCGGGGGACCGAGCAGCAAUGUUUGGCCUCGCGCCUUUGGAGCGGCCGAUGUCGGAUUAGCUAGUUGGGGGGGUAAAGGCCUACCAAGGCGACGAUCCGUAGCUGGUCUGAGAGGACGACCAGCCACACUGGGACUGAGACACGGCCCAGACGCCUACGGGAGGCAGCAGUGGGGAAUUUUGGACAAUGGGCGCAAGCCUGAUCCAGCAAUGCCGCGUGCGGGAAGAAGGCCUUCGGGUUGUAAACCGCUUUUGGCAGGAACGAAACGGUGUCCGCUAAUACCGGGCGCUAAUGACGGUACCUGCAGAAUAAGCACCGGCUAACUACGUG
rnacentral:rRNA from 1 species